UGAGGAACAUGACCUUCGGCGGGGGAUAGCCGGCCCAACGGCCGGGUAAUACCGCGUACGACCACAUGGGGACAUCCCCGAGUGGUGAAAGCAGCAAUGCGCCGAUGGAGUGCCUCGCGGCCUAUCAGCUAGUUGGUGAGGUAACGGCUCACCAAGGCGACGACGGGUAGCCGGCCUGAGAGGGCAUCGGCCACACUGGGACUGAGACACGGCCCAGACUCCGUACGGGGAGCAG
rnacentral:rRNA from 1 species